ensembl:snRNA U6 U6 spliceosomal RNA
UUAAAUACUUCACUUAAAAAUAAUUAAUACUUGGAAUGAUACAGAGAAGAUUAGCAUGGCCCCUGUGUAAGGAUGACAGGAAAAAAAAAUACUGUGUUUUAAAUGUUU